GUCUGUGUGCAUUAAUAUUUAGUCUGGCCUGCCCACUGAAUAUUUAAAGGGCUGCGGUAAUUUGACCGUGCAAAGGUAGCAUAAUCAAUAGUCUCUUAAUUGGAGGCUUGAAUGAAAGGUUUGACGGAAAGAAAACUGUCUCUUUAGAUUGAUAUUGAAUUUAACUUUUGUGUGAAAAGGCAUUAAUGUUUUAGUGGGACGAUAAGACCCUAUAAAACUUGACAUAUAUUAUAUUAUCUCUUAGAGUUGUUAAGUGAAUAUAAGAUGAUUAAGUGUGUUUUGCUGGGGCGGCAUGAAUAUAAUUUGUAACUGUUCAUUAGAUGUAAUAUAGAUAAAUAGAUAUUGGUCCUUUAUUAAGGAGGUAAGAGUAAGUUACUUUAGGGAUAACAGCAUAAUUUUUCUUGAGAGUCCAUAUCGAAGGAAGUAGUUGUGACCUCGAUGUUGAAUUAAAUUUUCUUCUAAGUGCAGUAGUUUGGAGAGAGGGCCUGUUCGGCCUAUAAAUAUUUACAUGAUUUGAGUUCAAACCGGUG
rnacentral:rRNA from 1 species